rnacentral:rRNA from 1 species
AUUGAACGCUGGCGGCAGGCCUAACACAUGCAAGUCGAGCGAGCGGCGGACGGGUGAGUAAUGUCUGGGAAACUGCCCGAUGGAGGGGGAUAACUACUGGAAACGGUAGCUAAUACCGCAUACCAUCGGAUGUACCCAUAUGGGAUUAUCUAGUAGGUGGGGUAACGGCUCACCUAGGCGACGAUCACUAGCUGGUCUGAGAGGAUGAACAGCCACACUGGAACUGAGACACGGUCCAGACUCCUACGGGAGGCAGCAGUGGGGAAUAUUGCACAAUGGGCGCAAGCCUGAUGCAGCCAUGCCGCGUGUAUGAAGAAGGCCUUCGGGUUGUAAAGUACUUUCAGCGGGGAGGCGUUACUCGCAGAAGAAGCACCGGCUAACUCCGUGCCAGCAGCCGCGGUAAUAC